UUACGAUAAUAGCAAAGCCGGCGAAAGCCGGCGGCGCAAAGCUAAGACCCGCUAAGUGAGCGGGGGUCAGGCUGCCGAA
rfam:Elusimicrobia bacterium GWA2_62_23 gwa2_scaffold_989, whole genome shotgun sequence.